ACAGGUUCAGCUCCGCAGGUGAAGGUGAAUAAACAAACAAACAUGCCUGUAAAUAAACAGCUCAUGGACGGGCAGCGUGUUGUCAGCAGUGGUGUAAAAUAAUAAUGACCACACCAGCGUCUGAAUGGACCGAGGUGACAUUAGCAGUCCUCUCCUUCACACACACAGUCUCCAGUAAAGCGGUCACAGCUGAGGUUGGGCGAACAGGAGCAGGUCUGAGUGCAGAAGGGACCAAAGCGACCUGGACUACAGGCUGGAAAACACAAGUUACCAGGUGGCUAAUGUUAGCCUUGUCCAGAACGGGGCUAUCAGAGCCAGCCUCCUGGUCGUUUUACGGACACAGAUGGCAACAACGAGCUCAUCGGGCCCACCAGCAUCAGGUGCUGAGGACUUAAAGACAUACUUGGAGAGGCCUUCAGCAGUUGAAGGUGUGUGGAUACUGGAGGCUGGAGAUUUGGGGAUCUAGGAAAAGGCCAACAUGCCAUUAAAUGAAGGAGGUAAGUGUAAUUGCAUCUAAUUAUAUGUAUUUAGAAAAUAAAACGCUGUACAUGGUACACAAAGUGGGUUUAGGAGGAGUCAUA